rnacentral:rRNA from 1 species
GAGCGGCGAACGGGUGAGUAACACGUGGGUGAUCUGCCCUGUACUUCGGGAUAAGCCUGGGAAACUGGGUCUAAUACCGGAUAUGACCAUGGGAUGCAUGUCUUGUGGUGGAAAGAUUUAUCGGUACAGGAUGGGCCCGCGGCCUAUCAGCUUGUUGGUGGGGUAAUGGCCUACCAAGGCGACGACGGGUAGCCGACCUGAGAGGGUGACCGGCCACACUGGGACUGAGACACGGCCCAGACUCCUACGGGAGGCAGCAGUGGGGAAUAUUGCACAAUGGGCGGAAGCCUGAUGCAGCGACGCCGCGUGAGGGAUGACGGCCUUCGGGUUGUAAACCUCUUUCGACAGGGACGAAGCGCAAGUGACGGUACCUGUAGAAGAAGCACCGGCCAACUACGUGCCAGCAGCCGCGGUAAUACGUAGGGUGCGAGCGUUGUCCGGAAUUACUGGGCGUAAAGAGCUUGUAGGCGGUUCGUCGCGUCGAUCGUGAAAACCUACCGCUCAACGGUGGGCUUUGCGGUCGAUACGGGCGGACUAGAGUACUUCAGGGGAAGACUGGAAUUCCU